GAUGAACGCUGGCGGCGUGCUUAACACAUGCAAGUCGAACGGAAAGGCCCAAGCUUUCUCGGGUACUCGAGUGGCGAACGGGUGAGUAACACGUGCGUGCUCUGCCCUGCACUUCGGGAUAUGCCCGUGAAACUGGGUCUAAUACCGGAUAGGACCACUCCAUGGGUGUUGUUGUGGAAAGUUCUUUCUGUGUGGGAUGAGCUCGCGGCCUAUCAGCUUGUUGGUGGGGUAAUGGCCUACCAAGGCGUCGACGGGUAGCCGGCAUGCGAGGGUGUACGGCCACAUUGGGACUGAGAUACGGCCCAGACUCCUACGGGAGGCAGCAGUGGGGAAUAUUGCACAAUGGGCGCAAGCCUGAUGCAGCGACGCCGCGUGGGGGAUGACGGCCUUCGGGUUGUAAAAUCCUUUCGCUAGGGACGAAGCGUUUUGUGACGGUACCUGGAGAAGAAGCACCGGCUAACUACGUG
rnacentral:rRNA from 1 species